AACGAACGCUGGCGGCAUGCCUAACACAUGCAAGUCGAACGAGACCUUCGGGUCUAGUGGCUCACGGGUGCGUAACGCGUGGGAAGCUGCAGUUAUGUUCGGAAUACCUCCCCGUCAGGGGUGCUAAUACAGGAUAAUGUCUUCUGACCCAAGAUUUAUCGUCUUUGGAUGGGCCUGCGUUGGUUUAGCUAGUUGGUAUGGUAAAAGCCUACCACGGAGACGCUCCUUAGCUGGUCUGAGAGGCUGAUCAGCCACACUGGGAGUGGGAAACGGACCAGACUCCUGCGCAAGGGAGCAGAGCGGAAUACUGGACAACGGGCGAAGUCCUGAUGCAGCACGGCUGCGAUAGUGAUGAAGGCCUGAGGGUAGAAAAGCUCGUUUAUCCGGGACGAUAAUGACAGUACCGGGAGAAUAAGCUCCGGCUAACUCCGUG
rnacentral:rRNA from 1 species